rnacentral:rRNA from 1 species
UACGUAGGGUGCAAGCGUUAAUCGGAAUUACUGGGCGUAAAGCGUGCGCAGGCGGUUAUGUAAGACAGAUGUGAAAUGCCCGGGCUUAACCUGGGAACUGCAUUUGUGACUGCAUGGCUAGAGUUUGGCAGAGGGGGGUAGAAUUCCACGUGUAGCAGUGAAAUGCGUAGAUAUGUGGAGGAACACCGAUGGCCGAAGGCAGCCCCCUGGGUCAAGACUGGACGCUCAUGCACGAA